UGUCUGAUAUCAGGUUAAACUUGGAAUAAUUAUGAUUUUUUGUUCAAAUCUAUUAAUCUACUAUCUAGUUAUUAAGUAGUGGCCUGUUAUCAGUGU
rnacentral:pre_miRNA from 1 species